UCACUCUGGUUUUCCUUCAUCACGCAUAAAUCUUUCGCCUUUUACUAAAGAUUUCCGUGGAGGAGAACAGUUGAAUGAGUCUAUAGACCAAUUUUUUUUCGCCCUGCCUUACGGCGGGGCC
rnacentral:snRNA from 1 species